rnacentral:lncRNA from 1 species
UAGUGUUCUGUGUGAUAAUCUACAGAGCUUGGAUUAAAUGUGGCUGUUAAUAUCCCUACACAACUAAGAAUAUGUAAUAGUUUGUAAGGAUAAGGAUGGAGAUACUGGCAAGCUACCUAUAAUAAGUUUCUGCCCUGUUUCUAUUCGAAGAAAAAGUUAAGAAAUACAAUGAAUAUUGCUUUUGAAAGAGAGGAAGGCCUCUUCUUGGAAGAAGGGUGUGGACAGGAAGGGCCCUUAAACUCAAUUUUCGUCCACAUUACAGUCAAUAAGUUGGAAAUCAAGAAUGAACUAACUCAAAGAAGAAAAAGAAAAAAAAACACAUAAAUGAAAUGAAAAUUGGGCCUAAAUGAAGUCGAUGAUUGUUUUGAAGAAAAAAGGAGGAAAAGAAUAAUAAGGGAAAAUAGGUUGUAGAUAUAAUAAUAUAGUCAUUAUAAUCAAAAACCUUUUCUCCUAAUUAUCAUUAUGUACCUACCUAUUGUUUUAAUUGCCCAAUGAAAAAGUUGGAAUCGUUUUUUGAAAGACUAAUGAACCACAUAAAUUGUGAAUCAAAGUGAAACGUUCGGAAUCAACAACAUGCGGGGGUGGCUAUUUAUUCCGUCAUCAAAAGGGACUCACAAUCUAUUAGUAUACUUAAAUAGAUAGUCCAUGAUGCACAUACCUAUGAAUCUGAAAAUGAAGGAAUACCAACGGAAUUUCAAAGUUGUAUUUCAAAUUAAUACGAGUAAAAUAUGGUUUUUGUA